UCAUCAGUCUUCCAGUUAUAUUUGUUAGUCAAAACCAACUUGUAGUGAUGGAAACUUGACCUUUUUCACAUUUCACAUGAUCAUAUUCAUACGAUCAGAUGACACAUAAGAAUUACAACGUGAUUUGUCAGGUUGAUCUUUGCUCUGUUUGUCCUGUUCAGAGUCAGUAAAAGUGUCCUCCUCCAGCUGCUGUCCCUGAUUCCUGUCCACUCUGAGAGGGACACAGUGAGACGGGCCGAAUCCCUGUGUGGAGCUCUGGGUGGAGAGCUGGACCUCAGUCACACCACACUGGACCAGAGGGUCUGUGGAGGUCUGGUCCAGAUGCUGGACUCCUGUGAAGGACUGACUGAGCUGGACCUCAGUCACUGUCAGCUCAGAGACCAGCUGCUGCUGGUCCUCAUCACACAUCUGCACAAAGUCCAGGUCCUGGAUCUGAGCCACAAUAAGAUCACAGAUGCUUCCACAGAUGUGCUCCUCCAGCUGAUCUCCAUCCACUCCUCCAUCCACACUGUGAGACUCUUCAGCAACGACAUCGUGGACAGAAGACCCUUUGAGAAGCACAAGCAGUUUGAAAUGUGGUGAAGCAGUCAGGAGGUCAUGUGAUCAUCAGGGAGGAACUGUUGGAUGUUGUCAUUAAAAAGCCUUUUCUCCUCAUGAUCAGAUGAAAACAUGGAGUUCAUUCUGGUCAUCAGUAGUGUGUGAUGGAGAGACUUUAGUUGAAACAAGCUUUGAUUUUUACCUCAUUAGAUUCUCUUUGCUUUUUUACAAUCAAUCAGACGACACUUUAUCUGGAGGCAAAGAGCAGCCAGCAGUGUUUUCUAAAACUUUACCACCUAUGUUUGACAUUAUUAGUUAGUACAGCUCAUAUUUCUGUUUGCUACCAUGUAAUGAUGGUCUAAAAAUGAUUCUUUAUUGGGACCAAACAGAGACUAGAACUGUCAGUGAAAAGAAAACAGAAGUGAUGGUGUUUGGUCCCAGUGGAUCCUGUGAGUCCUUCUGUGGUGACUUUGGCCCUUUGGCAACGUAUGUGAAGCCCACAGUUGCAACUCUGGGUUUUAUAUUGGACAGGGAUUUUAAACUGGACAGUCAAAUUCGGUCAGUCGUGACGUCCAGCUUUUUUCACGUAAGGCGGUUGGCAAAGGUGAAAUGUUUCCUCUCUAGGCAGCACCUUCAGACAGUAGUUCAUGCCUUUAUUUCAUCUCAGCUGGACUA
ensembl:lncRNA